rnacentral:rRNA from 1 species
UUGAACGCUGGCGGUAGGCUUAACACAUGCAAGUCGUGCGAGAAAGUAUCUUCGGAUAUGAGUAGAGCGGCGGACGGGUGAGUAACGCGUAGGAAUCUACCUAGUAGAAGGGGAUAGCCCGAGGAAACUCGUGCUAAUACCGCAUACGUCCUACGGGAGAAAGUGGGGGAUCUUCGGACCUCACGCUAUUAGAUGAGCCCAAGUCGGAUUAGCUUGUUGGUGGGGUAAAAGCCUACCAAGGCAACGAUCCGUAGCUGGUCUGAGAGGACGAUCAGCCACACUGGGACUGAGACACGGCCCAGACUCCUACGGGAGGCAGCAGUGGGGAAUCUUAG